AGCCGCGGUAAUUCCAGCUCCAAUAGCGUAUAUUAAAGUUGCUGCAGUUAAAAAGCUCGUAGUUGAAUUUCGGGACCAUCAUGUCGGUCGUGCCUCGGUACGUACUGGCAUUGUUGGUUUCUCCCUUCUGACGAACCAUGAUGUCAUUUAUUUGGUGUUGUGGGAAAUCAGGACUGUUACUUUGAAAAAAUUAGAGUGUUUAAAGCAGGCUCACGCUUGAAUACAUUAGCAUGGAAUAAUGAAAUAGGACGUUUGAUUCUAUUUUGUUGGUUUCUAGGAUCGACGUAAUGAUUAAUAGGGAUAGUUGGGGGCAUUAGUAUUCAAUUGUCAGAGGUGAAAUUCUUGGAUUUAUUGAAGACUAACUACUGCGAAAGCAUUUGCCAAGGAUGUUUUCAUUAAUCAAGAACGAAAGUUAGGGGAUCGAAGACGAUCAGAUACCGUCGUAGUCUUAACCAUAAACUAUGCCGACUAGGGAUCGGAUGAUGUUAAUUUUUUAAUGACUCAUUCGGCGCCUUACG
rnacentral:misc_RNA from 1 species